rfam:Monodelphis domestica chromosome 4, whole genome shotgun sequence.
AGAAAUAUGUCUGACAAAAGAAUUUUCUUGAUAGGAUAAAUUAUAGGGGUUUAAAUCCCCUUAUUUCUA